rnacentral:rRNA from 1 species
GGCUGGGGGUGGUACAUCUGUCAAACGUUAACGCAGGUGUCCUAAGGCGAGCUCAGCGAGGACAGAAACCUCGCGUAGAGGUAUGUGUGUGCGCGUUUUAUUUGUUGUGCUUGUCUGG